rfam:Drosophila persimilis strain MSH-3 cont1.001262, whole genome shotgun sequence.
UGCUUUGGCGCUUUAGCUGUAUGAUAGAUUUAAAAUACUUCAUAAAGCUAGAUUACCAAAGCA